UGGGGAAUUUUGGACAAUGGGCGAAAGCCUGAUCCAGCAAUGCCGCGUGUGUGAAGAAGGCCUUCGGGUUGUAAAGCACUUUUGUCCGGAAAGAAAUCCUUGGCUCUAAUACAGUCGGGGGAUGACGGUACCGGAAGAAUAAGCACCGGCUAACUACGUGCCAGCAGCCGCGGUAAUACGUAGGGUGCAAGCGUUAAUCGGAAUUACUGGGCGUAAAGCGUGCGCAGGCGGUUUGCUAAGACCGAUGUGAAAUCCCCGGGCUCAACCUGGGAACUGCAUUGGUGACUGGCAGGCUAGAGUAUGGCAGAGGGGGGUAGAAUUCCACGUGUAACAGUGAAAUGCGUAGAGAUGUGGAGGAAUACCGAUGGCGAAGGCAGCCCCCUGGGCCAAUACUGACGCUCAUGCACGAAAGCGUGGGGAGCAAACAGGAUUAGAUACCCUGGUAGUCCACGCCCUAAACGAUGUCAACUAGUUGUUGGGGAUUCAUUUCCUUAGUAACGUAGCUAACGCGUGAAGUUGACCGCCUGGGGAGUACGGUCGCAAGAUUAAAACUCAAAUGAAUUGACGGGGUCAUA
rnacentral:rRNA from 1 species